rnacentral:lncRNA from 1 species
GAUGAAAGCGGAUGGCAUAUGAAGCAGCGCUUUGGGCUUUAGUUGAAAUUAUGGGAGCACCAAUAUACUCUUCUAACUAAUGUGGUGUUGACACUUGGAGUCUUGACAGAUCCCGAAGGACACCUCCCACGGCCGGUCGUGCUCCAUCCAAGCCCACAGCCACAGGUCCCAGUGACAGCCGCACUAGGUGCGACAUACACCCCAAAUUGUUAAAAAUUACUAAAUACAACCUCAAUCUUGAAGUCUCUCUUCAUUUAGUGAAAUCAUGUAAGCCGGGAGUCGAAGAUCCUGAAGAAACGUGGAGUCCUUAUUUUAUUAUUUUUUAUUUUGAGCAAAAUAAUUGGAAAAUGUACAGCUUAAAUUCUCCGAGGCUGCAGACAUUGCUGGACGGUGCUGAAGCAAGGCGAAGUAGCUAUAGAAAUUGCCCAGCUUAAUCUAUUAGACAGGCGAGGUUAAAAGCACCAGAUGCAACCCAUCAUUUACCAAUAACUCAAAGUUCCACAGGUAAUCUUAUUAGGGGCAUGAAGGUUUGGCCGUUGUCUCGCCACUACAUCCCAAAAGGACAACUAAGCCGUUGACGAUACAGAUCCUUUGUUAUUUAAUCUUCAAUUUCUAGCC